GUCUCGAUGGUGUAGUUGGUUAUCACGUGGGUCUCAUAUCGCAGCAUAUGACUCGGAAGCGCAACUUCUGGGCGAUCCCAAGGCCGGGAGUUCGAACCUCCCUCGGGACA